UUGGUGCUUGCACCAGAUGACGAGUGGCGCACGGGUGCGUAACGCGUAUGCAACCUACCUUUUACUAGAGUAUAGCCCAGAGAAAUUUGGAUUAAUCCUCUAUAAUAUCUUUUAAUUUCAUGAUUAAUUGAUUAAAGUUUUAACGGUAAAAGAUGGGCAUGCGUCCUAUUAGUUUGUAGGUGAGGUAACGGCUCACCUAGACUACGAUAGGUAGGGGCCCUGAGAGGGGGAUCCCCCACACUGGUACUGAGACACGGACCAGACUCCUACGGGAGGCAGCAGUAAGGAAUAUUGGACAAUGGACGAAAGUCUGAUCCAGCCAUGCCGCGUGCAGGAUGAAAGCCCUAUGGGUUGUAAACUGCUUUUAUACAGGAAGAAACACUCCGACUUGUCGGAGCUUGACGGUACUGUAAGAAUAAGGAUCGGCUAACUCCGUGCCAGCAGCCGCGGUAAUACGGAGGAUCCAAGCGUUAUCCGAAAUCAUUGGGUUUAAAGGGUCCGCAGGCGGUCUUUUAAGUCAGAGGUGAAAGCCUACAGCUCAACUGUAGAACGGCCUUUGAUACUGAAAGACUUGAGUUAUUGUGAAGUGGUUAGAAUGUGUGGUGUAGCGGUGAAAUGCAUAGAUAUCACACAGAAUACCGAUUGCGAAGGCAGAUCACUAACAAUAUACUGACGCUCAUGGACGAAAGCGUGGGGAGCGAACAGGAUUAGAUACCCUGGUAGUCCACGCCGUAAACGAUGGAUACUAGCUGUUCGUCUAACAUUGGUUAGAUGAGUGGCUAAGCGAAAGUGAUAAGUAUCCCACCUGGGGA
rnacentral:rRNA from 1 species